UCUAGGAGCCACCGUGACCCUGCAGUCUGUUCGCGAGGCGACCCGCGGUGUCCUCCGAGUGUCGCCAACGCGUCCCCAGCGGGAGCAGCGGCAUCACCUCCCGAGGCAGCGGCGGAGAAGGAGGAGGAGGUGACGGGGUGACUGUAAUUCCUGCCCGGUCACAUGGGGAAGCCGCGACAGGAACGGGGACCGAGCGCGGGAGCAGCAGCGGAUGUACCGUGGGGACGGGGCGGUGGGGACAGUCCCCAAAGCCCCCAAGGCGCCCAAGGGUGGAGGGGACCCGAGGGGGACACGAGGGGACGAGACCACCCCUGCAGCAGGACCUGCAUUCCAAGGACAGGAGGAGGCGACACAGCGACAGCAGAGCCAGGGCAGUGCUGGGGGCACAGGAUGGGGCAGAAAUUAAGGAAUAUUGUAGGUGCUGUACUUAGGAGGGGUGGAAUGCCUGUGUUCGCCAGGCUGAAACUGCUUUAUUCUGGAGUGAAAGCUGAAUACUGGAUGCUGAAGUAAUUUCAGAGCAGCACAGAAUGUGCUGAGUUGAAAGGGACUCAUCAGGAUCAUUGAGUCCAACUCCUGGCCUGCACAGAACACCACAACAAUUCCACCGUGGGCCUCAGAGCAUUGUCCAAAUGCUUCCUGUCCCAAGACAAACUUGGGGCUGGUACCACUUCCCUGGGGACCCUGUUCCAGUGCUCAACCCCCCUCUAGGUGAAAAACUUUCUCCUGAUAUCCAACCUAUUCUCCCCUGACUCAGCUCCAGCCAUUUCCUUGAGUCCUGUCCCUGCUCAUGAGUGAAGAGAUUGGUGCUGGCCCCUGCACUGCCCCUCAGGAAGAUGUUGAAGAGCUCAGUGAUGUCUGACCUGAGUCUCCUCUUCUCCAGCUGAACAAAUCAACUGUCCUCAGCAGUUUGUCACAGAGCCCCUUGAGACCCUUCCCCAUCCUUGUGACCUCCUCUGGACACUCUGCAAUGGUUUUAUGUCUUUUUUAUAUUGUGGUAUCACUCAAGGUGAGGCCACCCCAGUGCAGAGCAGAGUGUGACAAUCCCCUCCCCGGCCCAGAGGCCAGGAUGCUGGGCCUGCUGCCCCCAGGACAGUGUGGCACUUUGGACUGCCAGGGCACUGCUGACUCAUGUUCAACUUGCCCUUGGCCAGGACUCCCAGGUCCCUCCCUGCAGCUGCCCUGCAGCCCCUCCUUCCCCUGUCCAUACGCCAAGCCAGGGGUGCCCAUCGCAGGGGCAGAAUCUGACCCUCCCCUUGUUAAACUCUGCACUGUUGGUGAUUGCCCAUCUCUAUUUGGGAGGUCUCUCUGCAGAGCUUCUCUGCCCUCCAGGCAGGCGACAUUUUGGUGUCAUCAGUAAAUUUAUUGAUUAUCCCUUCAAGUCCUGUGUUUAUGUUGUUAACAAAGACGUUGGAGAGCCAGGGCUGCCAAUGGAGCCCUGCAGAACCCUCUGGUGACCACUGCCAGAGUGCUGUCACCCCAGUCACUGCCACCCUCAGUGCCUGACCCAUGAGCCGGUUGCACACCCAUUCCACAAUGUGUUUAUCCAGCUGUGUGCUGGACACUUUGUCUAGAAGCAUUCUAGGAGACACAGUAUCAAAAGCUUUGAUGAAAUCCAGAAAGAUUCCAUCUACUGGCUUUCCUGGAUCAACCAAGUGGGUUCCCCUGUCACAGAAGGAAAUCAGAUUUCACAAGCAGGACUUUCCCCUCAUGAAGCCGUGCUGACUCUGGCUCGUGCCUGCAUUGUCCUCCAGGUGUUUUUCAAUACUUCUCAGAACAAAUUUUCCAUGAUUUUAUUGAGUGUCAGAGUGAGACUGACAGGUCUGUAGUGUCUGGGAUCCUCCUUGCCCUUGAAAAUCGGGACAACAUUUGCCAGCUUCCAGUCAGCUGGGACUCCUCAAAUCCCAGAUCUGAACUCUGUGUUUGCUCUGAUUUCUCCAGGGGAAGCAGCCUGCUCACGUCUGAAUGUUUGAGCUUCUAUUCUUCUCAGGAAAACCCACUUUGAGGGCAGUAAUGGUUAAUAGAACAAUUUAAAAUAUUUUCUGAUUACAGGCACAAAGUCAUUGCAGAUAAAACAAUCUCUUUAAAAGCUUUUUAAAGUGGGACUCACAGUGCACAAGUGAACUGUCAUGAAAGGUUUGAAAAAAAAGUCAAUUGUGAAUUUGUCAUGGUUUAGAGAGAGGAAACUGUAGAAGCCUUGCUUAAAUGAGGGCUCAUCUAUGGCACAGUUUGAAGCACCCUCCUUUUCCUCUGAAGGAAAUGUCUUUAUGGGCAUGGUAAGUACUACAUUUAAUGAAAUUACUUAAUUGCGUAGAAUUAGCAAUAAAUGUUAAUGUGACAAUUGAUUGUAUUUCCUUUCAAUAAUUCAGAAAGUCAGUAAAUACCAAUUUGCUGCUUCUCCCCAGCCACUUCUCCUGUCAUUCACAGCAAACAGUGAUAAGCAUUCAGUAGGAAGGUGAUGAGGUGAUGUUUGACCUGGCAGUUGGAAGUGCAGUGAUCUGUGAUCCCAGUGCAUCUGGGUUGGUCCAUCCAUGUCAGAUGAGGUUCUGCAGGGAUCAGAGUUCCCUGGGACCCACCCAAGACUCAUUUCACUUUACAGUGAGUGGUGCAGCUCCUGUCCACACAUCAAGACAUUUUCUGACAUCAGAGCCUGCUUGUCAGGGCUCCCUAACCUGUCUGUAUUUAGCACAAAUUCCCAGCUUCAAGGGAUGUUGAGGAAUGUGUUAUUCCAAAAGGAAUUGUCAUUAGGGGGUAUGUUAGGUUGAAAGAUGUAGCUGGGGUGUGUAUUCUAUUCCCAUGUGUUAGAGGAAGGGCAGUUAUCUUCUAUUAAUUGGGCAGUUUUCUUUAUCUCUUCCACAACCAAUCCUCCCUCCAGGAAAUAUCUUCUGUUCAUGGGCCCUUGAGUCUCACUGCAUGACUGAUAAAAAUUACAGCAUCCCAUUGUGAGAUGCUCCACCCAUAGGGAGGAGCCAAGCAUUCCUGCCUGGAUAUCAUCUGAGAUUUUGGAACAACAGAUCAGCCUUUUCCCCUUGGAUUCCUGCAGGAGCAACUUUCUCCUAUACUGGAUUCCCAAGGAAGUCUGAGCCCAUUUACACCACCACUGGACCUUCAGAGGAAAACUACACCCUUCUACAGGAUCACUGCUUCAACAGAACCACACCUGGCACUGCAGGUGCACUGCAGCCACAUUUAAUAGGACUGCUACCACCACCGUGACCCACAGGGAGUCAGGUCGUGUUCUGACUCUGUCAGAGGAUUUUUUUGUUUGUUUGUACCAUUGCAUUUGUAUUUUUAAUUUUCCUAGAAAAGAACUGUUAUUCGUGCUCCCAUAUCUUUGCCUGAGAGCCUCUUAAUUUCAAAAUUAUAAUAAUUCAGAGGGAGGGGGUUUACAUUUUCCAUUUCAAGGGAGGCUCCUGCCUUCCUUAGCAGACACCUGUCUUUUCAAACCAGGACAGUGGACAUACUGUACUUGUUGUUCUUUGCAAAGCAAAGAUAAGGAGCCUGUCACAUUCUGUUUAAAUUAAACUGUCUGAUUCCACUUAAUGUAUUUUGGUGGCUUGGAAACAGUUUAGUGACAUUUUGUGAGCAUUUUCUUUUUUGUGCAUUUUAGUUUUAUGUUUGAGGAACAUGUUUUCCUGCAGAAAGCAGGCUUUCUUUAUUUGGCUGGAUGUGUGGGAUGUAACUCCACCAAGUACACACUGAUUAUAGAAACUGCUUCUGUUUCUAUACUCUAUUUUAUAUACAUAUUCAUUUAUUUUCCUGGAGUAAACAUACAUAUGAUAACAAUUUUCCCCAAAAUCAUUAAGAUUUUUUUCUCUUCCUUUUAUGCACGGAUUCUUCUGUCCUAGGGGUCUCUUUGGUGGUCUCAGGUAGUUGGCAACCCCAAAGUUAUACUUGAACUGGUAAAAGUUGCCACAACUGGGAUGGUUGCUUUCCAGUUCUUUUUCCUACAGAAUAAGUUCCAUAGACAAAUGGGUUUUUAAAAAUUAGCAUUGUAUUAACCUGAUGCCUUUUCCAGGGCCACCUAAAAACAGAGGCCAUACAAAAUUAAGGGAAUAAAAAGCGGUUGGAUUUAUUGAAGGGCCUUCAGGUGUAUUUCAGGCAGAUGAAGCCCCCCGAGGGGCUACAGCCAAAAAUGUACAGUGGGUCAUGCGUUUUCACACUUUUAUAAGUUCAGUCCAUUUGCAUAUUGGGGGUUAAUCUUCCAAUUACAGCUUCAGGUAAUGAAGUCAUUUACCCCAAGUUUCUUUCCCCCCAACUCACUUUUGUUUACACCUCUUGGGGCCUGAGGCAGUGAGGUGUCCUUGAUUC